rnacentral:rRNA from 1 species
ACGGCUCAGUAACACGUGGAUAACCUGCCCAAGGGUCCGGGAUAACCCCGGGAAACUGGGGAUAAUACCGGAUGGAUCACUAGUGCUGGAAUGCUUGGUGGUCGAAAGGUGACGCCCUUGGAUGGGUCUGCGGCGGAUUAGGUUGACGCCGGUGUAACGUACCGGCGUGCCUGUAAUCCGUACGGGUUGUGGGAGCAAGAGCCCGGAGAUGGAUUCUGAGACACGAAUCCAGGCCCUACGGGGCGCAGCAGGCGCGAAAACUCUACAAUGCAGGCAACUGCGAUAGGGGGACAUCGAGUGGCAUCCACCUUGGGUGCCUGUCCAACCGUCUAAAAAACGGUUGUUAGCAAGGGCCGGGUAAGACCGGUGCCAGCCGCCGCGGUAAUACCGGCGGCUCGAGUGGUGGCCGAUAUUAUUGAGUCUAAAGGGUCCGUAGCCGGCUUUGCAAGUCCCCUGGGAAAUCCAGCGGCUUAACCGUUGGGCUUUCAUGGGAUACUACAUUGCUUGGGACUGGGAGAGGUAGGAGGUACUCGGGGGGUAGGGGUGAAAUCCUGUAAUCCUCCGGGGACCACCGGUGGCGAAGGCGUCCUACCAGAACAGGUCCGACGGUGAGGGACGAAAGCUAGGGGCACGAACCGGAUUAGAUACCCGGGUAGUCCUAGCCGUAAACGAUGCCCGCUAGGUGUCACGACGGUCGUGAAUCGUCGUGGUGCCGUAGGGAAGCCGCGAAGCGGGCCACUUGGGAAGUACGGCCGCAAGGCUGAAACUUAAAGGAAUUGGCGGGGGAG